UGCCCGUUUCAAAGGGACAGCUCUACCUUUCACUGGGAUAUACCACUGAGGAGGGGGAGGUGUCAAAGCUGUGCAGCUAUGCCAUUUGGUGAGAUGCCAGUCCCCUGAAAGGGGUCCCAAAGCCAAAUCUAAUUCAACCUUUUUUCCCUCCCUAACCCCUCAGCAGGAAAAGCAAUCAGCCUUGGGGAUUUCUAUAUACCUCUCUCCUAAAAAGCAGUCUUACAUGGAAACUUGAGGCUUACCCUGCAUCAUCCAGACUUGGACUCUUACUGCCCACUGGUUCCAUUCACUGCUUUCUCAGAAGUGCUGCCCCUAGGGCUUAGGGACAGAAAGAAGUGUCGAGUGGAACAGGGAGUGCGUAUAGUGGGAACAGAAGAAUUGGAAGGCACCAUGAACUAA
rnacentral:lncRNA from 1 species